rnacentral:snRNA from 2 species
GAGUGAAUCACAUUUGAGCAAUAAAAUUGAAAUGAUACAUAAAAGGUUCGCAUGGUUCCUGCACAAAAAUGAUACUCACGAAUGGAUAAAUGAUCGAUUUUUUU